rnacentral:rRNA from 1 species
AGAGGCACCGCCUGCCCAGUGACUAAAGUUAAACGGCCGCGGUAUCCUGACCGUGCAAAGGUAGCAUAAUCAUUUGUUCCUUAAUUAGGGACUUGUAUGAACGGCAUGACGAGGGCUCAACUGUCUCUUACAUAUGAUCAAUGAAAUUGACCUUUCCGUGCAGAGGCGGAAAUAUAAUAAUAAGACGAGAAGACCCUAUGGAGCUUAAAUUAACUUUCUACCUAACAAAAAUAAACCCCUAAUGGACCAACAAUAACAGGAUAGAAACAAAAUUUUGGUUGGGGUGACCUCGGAGAAUAACCUAUCCUCCGAAAGACUUUAACCUAGACCAACCAGUCAAAGUUACCCAUGUCAUAUUUGAUCCAGUUAUUCUGAUCAAUGGACCAAGUUACCCUAGGGAUAACAGCGCAAUCCCAUUAAAGAGUUCAUAUCGAAAAUGGGGUUUACGACCUCGAUGUUGGAUCAGGACAUCCCAAUGGUGCAGCAGCUAUUAAAGGUUCGUUUGUUCAACGAUUAAAGUCCUACGUGAUC